UCGCUGUCGUGAACCUUCACGGAAAGAUAAUAACGUGUGACAGGUAGAGAAAUUUUCUGGAGUCGUUUUACGCUCGUCGCGAUCGCUGUACCAAAAUGUUUCAGCAAACUACGCUUUUUCUCGCGCUAUCCUGGGCUGCGCUCUGCCUAGCGACAAAAUUUCAGGAAGGUCACCAUGAAAUCACAUCGAAAGCGGGCAUAAGGAAAACGACGUUCUCCGAAUCGGAAAUUCUUUUAUCUGUAACAGCAUGUGUGGCUGGGGUCGUGCUAAUUGUUCUCAUUCCAACGAUCGUUUACAAUAAAUGCUUCAACAAGGAGGUGGAAAUCGAGAAGUACUAGAUACUAUACAACCGAUCAGAAUCACCAGGAUGUCGCGUCGAUCGGAACAGCUGCACGAAAUAAUCGUCGCCUGAUCAAUCAUCGAUCCGUGCAAACAAUCCUGAAACAAUACACAUUCAUGACUGAUCACAUAUCCAAGUUUUCGUGGAAUUGAUCCCGCGGGAUUUAACGUUAAAUUCAGCGUAACGAGCGGGGCGAAUGCGACCCGGCCGCGAUUAUCAAUUUCAUCGGGAGUCUCGUAUGCAAAACACAACGAUCGAUGUCGUUACACAAAACUUUCCGUCCUCGUUACGCGUUCAUCGUAAACUGACGCCCCACACGUGCGUCCGUGAGAAGAUACUAACCGUAAAAUCGGUGAUAAUAAACACAGCGGGGCUGUGAUCAACUGAGAUUUUACGACUCUCGAACAAUGAACGCGGACAUCGAGUCGACAUAUCGCUUUAUUAGUACUUCACACGUCUAUUAUUAUUGGUAUGAAUUUGAGGGAUUGUUUACUUAUUCGACAUAAAAGUAAAAGUUUCUUUGGUAGAUCCUAUCUAGAGGCACUCUGAUCUACGAAGCAUCUGUCACUGUGAAUCGUCCCAUUGUUAUUAUUUAUCAAAAUAGCCCAAGUACGAUCAACUAUUGCCAGUCAUUAAUUUCAAGCGACUGCAUCGCAAAUA